rnacentral:rRNA from 1 species
UACGUAGGGGGCUAGCGUUGUCCGGAAUCAUUGGGCGUAAAGCGCGUGUAGGCGGUCCGGUAAGUCCGCUGUGAAAGUCGGGGGCUCAACCCUCGGAUGCCGGUGGAUACUGUCGGGCUUGAGUACGGAAGAGGCGAGUGGAAUUCCUGGUGCAGCGGUGAAAUGCGCAGAUAUCAGGAGGAACACCAAUGGCGAAGGCAGCUCGCUGGGACGGUACUGACGCUGAGACGCGAAAGCGUGGGGAGCAAACAGG